rnacentral:rRNA from 1 species
CCUACGGGUGGCUGCAGUGGGGAAUAUUGGACAAUGGGCGAAAGCCUGAUCCAGCCAUGCCGCGUGUGUGAAGAAGGUCUUCGGAUUGUAAAGCACUUUAAGUUGGGAGGAAGGGCAUUAACCUAAUACGUUAGUGUUUUGACGUUACCGACAGAAUAAGCACCGGCUAACUCUGUGCCAGCAGCCGCGGUAAUACAGAGGGUGCAAGCGUUAAUCGGAAUUACUGGGCGUAAAGCGCGCGUAGGUGGUUUGUUAAGUUGAAUGUGAAAGCCCCGGGCUCAACCUGGGAACUGCAUCCAAAACUGGCAAGCUAGAGUACGGUAGAGGGUGGUGGAAUUUCCUGUGUAGCGGUGAAAUGCGUAGAUAUAGGAAGGAACACCAGUGGCGAAGGCGACCACCUGGACUGAUACUGACACUGAGGUGCGAAAGCGUGGGGAGCAAACAGGAUUAGAUACCCCGGUAGUC